CACUGGGGAACCUGCCCCGAUGACCGGGACAACCCGAGGAAACUCGGGCUAAUACCGGAUGAGCUCACGCCACAUCAGUGGCAUGAGGAAAGGAAGCUUCGGCCUCCGCAUUGGGAUGGGCCCGCGGCCCAUUAGCUUGUUGGUGGGGUAAAGGCCUACCAAGGCUUCGAUGGGUAGCUGGUCUGAGAGGACGAUCAGCCACACUGGGACUGAGACACGGCCCAG
rnacentral:rRNA from 1 species